rnacentral:rRNA from 19 species
CAACGCGACCCCAGGUCAGGCGGGGCUACCCGCUGAGUUUAAGCAUAUCAAUAAGCGGA